rnacentral:rRNA from 1 species
CCUAGUAACGGCGAGUGAAGCGGCAUCAGCUCAAAUUUGAAAUCUGGCUCUUUCAGGGUCCGAGUUGUAAUUUGCAGAGGGCGCUUUGGUGUUGGCAGCGGUCCAAGUUCCUUGGAACAGGACGUCACAGAGGGUGAGAAUCCCGUACGUGGUCGCUAGCCUUCGCCGUGUAAAGCCCUUUCGACGAGUCGAGUUGUUUGGGAAUGCAGCUCUAAAUGGGAGGUAAAUUUCUUCUAAAGCUAAAUACUGGCCAGAGACCGAUAGCGCACAAGUAGAGUGAUCGAAAGAUGAAAAGCACUUUGGAAAGAGAGUCAAAUAGCACGUGAAAUUGUUGAAAGGGAAGCGCUUGCAGCCAGACUUGCCUGUAGUUGCUCAUCCGGGCUUUUGCCCGGUGCCCUUUUUUGCGGGCAGGCCAGCAUCAGUUUGGGCGGUUGGAUAAAGGCCUUUGUCAUGUACCUCCUUUCGGGGAGGCCUUAUAGGGGAGGCGUAAUGCA